rnacentral:rRNA from 1 species
GACGGAGGGUGGUAUCGUUGUUCGGCAUCCCUGGGCGUAAAGGGCGCGUCGGCGGCCCAUGCCGUCGGCUCGUGAAAGCCCGGGGCUCAACCCCGGAGGUGCGGCCGAGACCCAUGGGCUGGAGGCCAGAAGAGGAGGGUGGAAUACCCAGUGUAGAGGUGAAAUUCGUAGAUAUUGGGUGGAACACCGGUGGCGAAAGCGGCUCUCUGGUCCGGUUCUGACGCUGAGGCGCGAAAGCGUGGGGAGCAAACAGG